UGGGGAAUCUUGCGCAAUGGGCGAAAGCCUGACGCAGCGACGCCGCGUGAGGGAUGACGGCCUUCGGGUUGUAAACCUCUUUCAGCUCCGACGAAGCGGAAGUGACGGUAGGAGCAGAAGAAGCACCGGCCAACUACGUGCCAGCAGCCGCGGUAAUACGUAGGGUGCAAGCGUUGUCCGGAAUUAUUGGGCGUAAAGAGCUCGUAGGCGGUCUGUCGCGUCGGCUGUGAAAACUCGGGGCUCAACUCCGAGCUUGCAGUCGAUACGGGCAGGCUAGAGUUCGGCAGGGGAGACUGGAAUUCCUGGUGUAGCGGUGAAAUGCGCAGAUAUCAGGAGGAACACCGGUGGCGAAGGCGGGUCUCUGGGCCGAUACUGACGCUGAGGAGCGAAAGCGUGGGGAGCAAACAGGAUUAGAUACCCUGGUAGUCCACGCCGUAAACGUUGGGCGCUAGGUGUGGGAUCCCUUCCACGGGUUCCGUGCCGCAGCUAACGCAUUAA
rnacentral:rRNA from 1 species